GGAGCGGUGGCCCAGAGGCCCCUGCCUUCCAGACGGCUGUAGCCCAGAUGCCUUUGCAGCCGGCCUGGCCCCGUCCAACCCGCUGACCUCAUUCCCAGCGCCUCCUCCCUCCUCGCAGGCUCCUCGCCUGCCUGCCACGUAGACUCGGCCACAGGGGGAAGGAGAGUGGGACCCAGGUGCCCUGAGCCCAGAGCCCUGCCAGGACCUACAGAGCUGUGGGCAGCCGCUGUGACCACUUGGGGCCUCAGUUUCCUCUCCCCAAACAUGAGGUCCGGUAAAUGAGGGGGACUGGGGUGAUGGGAGAAGCCAGAUGAGAAGCAGGGUGGAGUGAGGAGCGGGGAACCAAGGGGGCUUCCUGGACUCGUGAGAGCCUUCCCCGCCUUCUGGGCUCCCGGGUGCUGUCCUCACAUCUCAGCAUCGCACUGGCUGUUGGGUGCAGAGAGCAGCACGCUGUCCCCUGUCGGGCUCCUCAGAGCCCCCCAUCCUGCCCCCCGGCCCGGCGUAUCUGCCUCCCUGCCCCCCAGGUCCUGGUGUUACUGUCCUGAGGAGCUGGGGCUGUCCCUGCCGUCUGCCCAGGCGUUCCCGGCCGGCCAUCUUUGCAGCUUGGCCUGGCUCUGGCCCCAGGCUGCACCCUUCGAGGAACUUCUGCUGAGGAGCUGCUCAGAGCUCGGAAGGACCUUCCCGAGAGGAGAGGAGGAGAGAGAGACACAGAGAGAGAGGUGGAGCCAGUUUCCUGGAGUCACAGAGCUGGGAAGUAGCUGCACUGAGAUGAAAACCCAGAAAGUCUCAUGCUUCACUCAGAGACCCAGGACGGAUGCCAAGUGGACCACCCCACCCCACUGCAGAAGUGGCUGUUUGGAGGAAUGCGCUGUCUCCUCUUGGGCUCAUGCACGGGAAGGACCACAGCAUAACGUGGCUGAAACUGACCACAGGCACUAGCCGAGUGGCCAGUCCCAGCUACCCCGCCCUGCCUCCCAUCUGCCCAGGGCCUACUGUGAGCUGACCACACCACGACACACACAGCAUCUCAUUUAUUUCAUUAAAAAAAAACUCUCCCUCCAUUUAUUUUCCUUUUCUUUUUUCUCUAUUUUUCAUUAGUGUAUAUUUGUGACAUAAGAAAUGCAUUCAUCAUGGGGAAUCGGCACCUAUACAAACUCUGGUCUUAAUCCUUUUUACUCCCUUUCUCUCCCCACUCUCCUAUCUCCACCACCCUCAGACUCCCCCUCCCCUCCUUUGCUUUGAUUUAUUGAUCCUUUGUAUUGGGUUUUUUGGUACCGGGGAUCGAACUCGGGUCCUUGUGCUUGAGCAGCAGGCAACGAAACCACUAAGCUAAAUCCCAGGCCCUGUAUUGGUUUUUAAUCUCAAUUCAUUAAUUUCCAUUCUGAUCAUUACAAUCUCUUUCCUUCUAUUAGUUUCAGAGUUGGGUUGCUCU
rnacentral:lncRNA from 1 species